rnacentral:misc_RNA from 1 species
CCGAUUUACGCGGAACUCGCUUGCGUUAGUCGAGGCCAGGGGAUGACGUAACGCUUUGGCGAGGAAGUAAAAUUUACAAAAUUUAAGAUCAUGCCAGAAACUUGCGAACGGUUUCAACGAAAUGGCAUCAACAACCGCUUCGAUCGCCGCAGAGAAUAAAUUCAGAGAACGAAAAUUAUACCGUCGGCUUGUUCAAUUUUGUGAAAUUGAAGUUUUGACUCGUUUCGUGCAAAAACAAUUAUUUUUACCACGACUGAAACACGUGGGAAAUUUGUUUCGCCUCCGAUCAAUACCAGCCAAUUACGGCGAAAGGAAAUUUGCUUGGCCUCUCGCUCCAAAAACUUGAUCCACAAAUGAUUCCGCGGUUAACUGAAAGCAAUUUGCUUGUACCUACAUAGAUUGUACGACCGUAGAAGACUCCUUCACCAGAGCGAAACCAGAGAAAAAGAUAUGCCGGUAAUGAGCACUUUCUUUCCACCCAGUGUUCGACAUUCGUGGAUGCAGAAAGGUAAAUUCGCUUAGGUAAAAAGGUAAAAUGACACGGAAUUAAGGGAAAAUUAUGCGGUUUGCGAGCAAAUACUCGAAGAAUGAAAAUGCUCGAUAACUUAAUAAUACUAAAGACAAAUAAAAAGAAAAGAAGACAAAAAGUAUAAAGGUAGAAAAUUGUAGGAACAUAGAGAUUGAGCGUCGAAGGCGAUUCAUCGAAAAGGAGAGACACGAGUUCCUAUUCGUUGCAUGUCGAACGCGUGCGAGCGGAAACACGCUGGUCUGUUCAUUUGCUUCUACAAACAGCAGCUGCGAGUAGAAUCGCGGCCGCAUAUGCACGUAUUUGAAUAAUUGAGCAACAGCCUUACGCAAAUCAGUCGAACGUAAAUGUGUUCUAACUAGUACAGGAAUGAGAAACAUCGAUACCAGGGAUUUCCGAUUAUCUAAACUAGACUCUACACCGAUAGAAAGACAGACUAACGGGCAAAGAAUAUUUUUUAUUCUUAUUAUUAGAAUGCUAUUUUUUUUUUUUUUU